rnacentral:misc_RNA from 1 species
UUUUUUGUUUUUUUUUUUUUGUUUUCCUGUUUAAAUAGUCUUGCAUUUCUUUGUUCAUUGACAUUUAAUCAAUUAUUCAAAAAUAUUUAAAUUCUAAUCAAUUGUUCAUAAUUAUUAAUGCUUAAAAAAUAUGAAUCAAUUGUUUCAAUAUUAAUCAUAAUUUUAAUCAAUUGUUCAAAAUUAUUGAUUAAUAAAAAAAUUAUCUGACUAGCUUUGACAUGUGAAUGCUGUGUCACCUACAAAGGUGUACACAUCAGAAUUAAUUAGCAUUAUCGUUUACAAAAAUGUUAUCAUGUGUGUACUGCUGGUGUCUUAUUUAAAUAAAUAAAUAAAUUCUUUUAGUUCGAACAAUUUCCCCUUUCAAAACAGAAACAUUACACGAUUUUUUAAAAUAUGUCAGAAUCAGAAGUAAAAUGCGUUGAAAUGAAAUGAAAACAUUUAUUUCGUCAUAAGGUGAUAUACACACUCAACGAAAGUCAAAAUAAUGUCAUUUACAAAAAUAAAAAUAAAAGAAAGUUAAGGCAGCAAAAAAAUCAAACAAUAAAAUUAAAAUUUAUAUCUUAACAUUAGGUACACGACAAACUUAGGUAAUAUACCCAGUAUUAUGUGCAACCUUAACUUAGUCAAAUUAAUCAACAUAUUAAGUUAAUUUAAAUUUCUAAUGUCUCGGUAGACAAUACCUUCCUAUUAUAUCCUCGGCUUUUUAAAAGUUUUAAAAGAAACUAACAAUUUAUUACUCUUCAUAAUUACAAUACAAAUACUCUUUAUUGUACGUACACUAACAGACAAAAAUUUUUACAUCGAAAGAAAAAUAUAAAUGUGUACAAAAGGCGGUCUUAUCGCUAAAAGAGCGAUCUCUUACAGACAACCUCUAGCAUGAAAAGAGAAUUAGAUGGCAUGGAUGGCAUACAUAUAUGGGUGGGGCUCGCAAAAAAUGUACCUCAUCCAAAUUUUUCGUGAUCCUACCUUUGAAUAAGGUAAAAAGUCAUUUUUUUAAUUCCUGGAAAAGAUUUGCUGCUUUCUGUACACACUUAAAAUAUCACUUGUAAUAGUAUCAGCCCAAUGCAUCAGUUAAAACAUUUGAAACAACAACAAAAAUAUCUGCAUAUCUGUAGGAAUAAUUUUUAGUUCUAUAGAAAAAAAACAAAUGUUUUAGACCUUAGUAAAAAUCAAUAAAUUAAUUUUUCAUCAUGUAGCUUGUAUUUACAGAGCCAUCGUAUUUAGUAAACAAUGGUAUUGGAAUAAAUCUAGAAAUAAUGCGUCAAAAAACUGAUAUUACUAGAGAUAAAAUGAUAAAUUUGUUGGAUUUAAAAAGUGUCCCCAUUUUAUUUCACGUGUAUUAUUAGUCAGUUUGAUACAUGGAAGUUUUUUUUAUGAGGAGUAGAAACACUUCACUUAUUUUUUUUUUGUGCUGGCAACAUUUCAUUCGUAAAAUAGUAAUGUCAGUGAUCUGUCAGCCAACUUAGUUUGCAUAAAAGAAACGGUGCUCGGUGUGGGCUAAGAGUUCGUCAUUGGAUUUUCGUGACUUUCUGGAAGUAAUUUCUCAUGAUGCCACUAACACCUGCUGAAAGGCAAAAACUCUAUCGGGAAAGGUUGAAAGAGAAAGACCCUGAGAAAUUUUUGUCUCAAAAAAGAAAAAAUGCUGACAGAACACGCGAAAAAAGAAAGAAAAUAGCAGAAUACGCUCCAUCCGAGCAGGAAAAUAUUAGAAAACAGUGGAGAUAGAAAGAAAAAAAGUAAAGAAGAACCAUCGUCAUCCUUACCUGAAGUUAUGCCAUCUGAAAAAGACACUUAAAGACAGAAGAAAAAUCAAAAUAGAAGAGUGCUUUAUAAACUAAAAGAAGAAAACAUUGCAUUGAAAAUACAGCAAGGACAUUUGCAAAAAGCUUUGAAAAUUAUAAGAAAAGAAUAAACCGAUGUUUGAAGAAAAAUAAUAAGCUAUUAGAUCUGAUCAAAGAGAAAAACAAUUUGAUUCGUGAUUUAGAAGAAAAGCUUAUUUCUAGAGACAUAAUAGAAAGAAAUGUUGACGAAAUGACUCCUUCUUCGAAGACAGAUGCUUAUAUUCAACAAAAUUUACCGGAUGUCCACCCUGAGGAAAAAGAAAGAGUGAAAAAAACAUUAUUUGAACAUCACGUUAUAAUAGAAACUAUGAAACAAAGUUAGCAAACUAAAGACAUGAAAGAAAAGCAAGUAUUAAAAGAUAUAGUGAAAAAAAGUAAAAUACUAGACAAAUACAAAAUGAAAACAAAAAUGGCUACCUAUUUGGGCUUGAAAGGAAAAAUUCGACAUACAUUAAAGAAAAAAAGUGGUAAUAUAAUACAGACUCAGUUGAAAGACUUUUUUGAGAGAGACGACGUAAGCAAAAGACGGCAGGUAAAAAUGAAAUAAAAACGCAAAACAAUCAAAAAAAGCAGAGAAGGUAUACUAUUACUAGGUAAUACUGCCAGGAAGGAGGAAAGCUGUCAUUCGCUACUUUUAAAAGAUACAUACUUUUAUGUAUUGCCACCAAAAGCUGAGAAACGUGAAACCUGUGCAUGCAAGAAAUAUGAAAAUUUGCAAAUGAAAGCCACGCUUCUAAAGUCAAUUGGUUUAGUAGCAACAAAAGAUCUCGACGAUUUGUUAGCUAUGAUUGUUUGCGAUAUAAAAUCUAAUGUUUGUGCUUAUGGAGAGUGUGAGUUGUGCAAAAAUAAAUGUAUUGAUUUCAUGACUUGUGGAAAAAAACUUAAACGAUGAAAUUUCUUGGGAUGAAUGGAAUUUAAAAUCUCAUCAAUACAAAGGAAAAAUAAAUAGUGAAGAGACAAAAAUUACAAAAAAAAAAAAAAUAGUAAAGGAACGAAAAAGUGGCUCCUUGAAAACUUUACUCGACGCAUUUCAAGAAGAAUUGCAGAGUUUCAAAACCCAUUCAUACAAUAUCGUCCAUCAGUACAAAGAAUACCGUCGGUGCACGAAAAGAUUAGAUGAACGUACCAUAGCAUUACACAUAGACUUCUCUGAAAAUUAUUCAUGUAAAUUAAGCACAGAAAUUCAAGCAAUGCAUUUUGGAGCUUCACGGCAACAGAUUACGGGAAUCGUGUAUACUGCAAAA